UAGGGAAUCUUCGGCAAUGGACGAAAGUCUGACCGAGCAACGCCGCGUGAGUGAAGAAGGUUUUCGGAUCGUAAAACUCUGUUGUUAGAGAAGAACAAGGACGUUAGUAACUGAACGUCCCCUGACGGUAUCUAACCAGAAAGCCACGGCUAACUACGUGCCAGCAGCCGCGGUAAUACGUAGGUGGCAAGCGUUGUCCGGAUUUAUUGGGCGUAAAGCGAGCGCAGGCGGUUUCUUAAGUCUGAUGUGAAAGCCCCCGGCUCAACCGGGGAGGGUCAUAGGAAACUGGGAGACUUGAGUGCAGAAGAGGGGAGUGGAAUUCCAUGUGUAGCGGUGAAAUGAGUAGAUAUAUGGAGGAACACCAGUGGCGAAGGCGGCUCUCUGGUCUGUAACUGACGCUGAGGCUCGAAAGCGUGGGGAGCAAACAGG
rnacentral:rRNA from 1 species